rnacentral:rRNA from 1 species
GACAGAGGAUGCAAGCGUUAUCCGGAAUGAUUGGGCGUAAAGCGUCUGUAGGUGGCUUUUUAAGUCUGCCGUCAAAUCCCAGGGCUUAACCCUGGACAGGCGGUGGAAACUACCAAGCUGGAGUACGGUAGGGGCAGGGGGAAUUUCCGGUGGAGCGGUGAAAUGCGUAGAUAUCUGGAGGAACACCGGUGGCGAAGGCGACAUCCUGGACCGGUAUUGACGCUGAGGCGCGAAAGCCAGGGGAGCAAACGGG